rnacentral:tRNA from 1 species
UAGUUCAGUGGUAGAGCAAUCGACUGAAAUACCAAAGGUCUUGGGUUCGAAUCCCAG